GAUGAAGAACGUAGCGAAAUGCGAUAAGUAAUGUGAAUUGCAGAAUUCAGUGAAUCAUCGAAUCUUUGAACGCACAUUGCGCCCCCUGGUAUUCCGGGGGGCAUGCCUGUUCGAGCGUCAUUUCACCACUCAAGCCUCGCUUGGUAUUGGGCAACGCGGUCCGCCGCGUGCCUCAAAUCGACCGGCUGGGUCUUCUGUCCCCUAAGCGUUGUGGAAACUAUUCGCUAAAGGGUGCUCGGGAGGCUACGCCGUAAAACAAACCCAUUUCUAAGGUUGACCUCGGAUCAGGUAGGGAUACCCGCUGAACUUAAGCAUAUCAAUAACGGAGGA
rnacentral:misc_RNA from 1 species